rnacentral:rRNA from 1 species
GAUGAACGCUGGCGGCGUGCCUAACACAUGCAAGUCGAACGAAGCGCUUAAGACGGACCCUUCGGGGGAAGAUUUAAGUGACUGAGUGGCGGACGGGUGAGUAACGCGUGGGCAACCUGCCCUGUACAGGGGGAUAACAGUUGGAAACGGCUGCUAAUACCGCAUAAGCGCACAGUGGGACAUCCCACAGUGUGAAAAACUCCGGUGGUACAGGAUGGGCCCGCGUCUGAUUAGCUAGUUGGCAGGGUAACGGCCUACCAAGGCAACGAUCAGUAGCCGGUCUGAGAGGAUGAACGGCCACAUUGGAACUGAGACACGGUCCAA